rnacentral:rRNA from 1 species
GAUGAACGCUGGCGGCGUGCCUAAUACAUGCAAGUCGAGCGAACAGACGAUGAGCUUGCUCCUCUGACGUUAGCGGCUGACGGGUGAGUAACACGUGGAUAACCUACCUAUAAGACUGGGAUAACUUCGGGAAACCGGAUCUAAUACCGGAUAAUAUAUCGAACGGCAUGGUUCAAUAGUGAAAGACGGUUUUGCUGUCACUUAUAGAUGGAUCCGCGCCGCAUUAGCUAGUUGGUAAGGUAACGGCUUACCAAGGCAACGAAGCGUAGCCGACCUGAGAGGGUGAUCAGCCACACUGGAACUGAGACACGGUCCAGACUCCUACGGGAGGCAGCAGUGGGGAAUAUUCCGCAAUGGGCGCAAGCCUGACGGAGCAACGCCGCGUGGGUGAUGAAGGUCUUCGGAUCGUAAAACUCUGUUAUUAGGGAAGAACAAAUGUGUAAGUAACUAUGCACGUCUUGACGGUACCUAAUCAGAAAGCCACGGCUAACUACGUG